AUGUCUGCAGCAUGAUUAGACACACAUUUAUAUAGUUUAUCAGAAAGAAAAGUUGAUUUGGGGGUGACUUGUAGGGCUGCAACAACGAAUCGAUAAAUUCGAUGAAAAUCGAUUACUAAAAGCGUUGGCAACGAAUUGCGUCAUCGAUUCGUUGUGUCGCACAACUCUUCCAAAAGCGCCCCCCCUUCCCGCCCACCGUUGCGCGCAGACAGAUCAGCGCGAGGGAGAGCCGGCAGUUGUUUGGAAGAGGAACAUGGCAGAAGCAGCGAGAGUCAAAAAAGUAAAAGCUUUUUAAGUUUGGGAGCAUUUUCAGUUAAAUCGGGCGAAGACAUGCGUUACCUGCAACGUUUAGGUCAGACUUGCACGGGAUGAUGCAGCGUCUUAAACGCAAGCAUGUCGGGAUCAUCAGCGGAGAGAACUCUGUGUCCGGGUAAAUUAAAAACUUUUCAAAAGUGAUUCAUCCAAGUCCCGGAUUAUUACACAGGCUAGACAUGCCCUAAGCUCGUAAAAAAAGAGUCUAAAGUCGUGAGCGCGACGCUUAUUAAAUGAGCGGGGGGACUCGCGCUGCUGCGAACCGGUUCCGCCCAAGGCCGGAUUAACUGGGCAAUUGCCCAGGGCCCACGAACUCUAAAGGGCCCAGGGCACGAGCAAAAUACUGUAUCUAUAAUUUCCCGCUUUAUGAGGACUAUGGUGACCGUACGUUCCGUUUUCCCCAGACUUGUCCACUUUUCACUCUCUGUCCGGCGCGUCCGGACUGCGGGUUCUUGUAUUGAUGAAAAUGUCCGGCUUUUCAUCCAGGAGCAGGGAUCGAAUUAUGGGGGAGCUGUAUAUCCUACACAUCCAGUAGGGGAGCCGGAAAAAAGUUUUCUAUAUUAUAUCAUUUUUGGACUCUUUUGAGCAGAGAGCGGCACAGCGCAUUGUUACGCAGCGAUCCAGGCAGCUGCUUCCAGCGCACGGUCCAUUCUCAAAGUGGCGCAACCAAAAAACUAUAAUUAGCACACGAUCGUUCAUGUCUGCACAUGUUCUCUAUUUUCUGUCUUAUUUGUGCCUGCAGCGCUCUGCUACUGCGGAGCUCAUCACCUGUGCUGCGGUGAUUUCACCUCACGCAGCAUCGAAAACGCGCUCUCCGCUUUGUGGUCAGGAGAUCCCUUUGAUCUGCUCAAAAGUAACUGAUGAGGUGAACAAGUAAGAAUCCAGGCAGCAGUUUUUCUGGAGAAUUAAGAGGAGAUGCAGGAAGAUGAGACAGACAGGACAGGAAAAUAGUUCAAUAAAAACAACAAAACAAAGUGUUGAAAAGUAAAAUGUAGGUAGAUUUAUCUCCACUACACGUUUUUACCUAUAAAACAAUAAGUUACACACAUGUAAUAUUUAUAAAUUUGAUACUAUUCAGGUCACCUUCAACACUCAGUCACACACCCAGGGCCGUUUCAAGACAUUUUGGGGGCCAAGGCAAAAUGACCCCCCCCCCCCCCCACUGGGCUCCCCAGAAGCCUCUGUGUAAUUCAUACCCUCUCCAGUAGUGUUAGUUAUACAGUGUUUAUAAAAGCCCCUCAGACAUUACUGACAUGCUCUAAUAUUAUCAGAUGAAAAACUAAAUUAUCAGACAUGCUGUCUCAUCUGCUGCUUUUCUAAACUUGCAGAAAGUAACAAAACCAUUUGAAAGCCACUAUUUGUGGAUUCUCUGAAAGUUUCCAUGGAGUGUGUGACAACUUAUUUUUUCAGUCAUUUUUGGAAAUAGUGAUCAAUUUUGAUUAAUUCACAGCCUAUGUUUAAUUACAUUUAAAAAUUAGUUGUUUGACAUCCCCAGUUAUAAUAAAUGUCUACAGAUGAGAUCAAACAAAACAGAUGAGAAUUGCCCUUAAGCUGUUUAAUUGGACCAAGCAUUUUAGGUCACAGAUAGAUGUAGCUUAGGGUCUCUGUCUAUACACCUUAUAAGACAAUUUAGGUGAUGGCAUGUUGUUUUUCUGCUAUUGAACUGUUUUCUAAUAAUGUUGUGUUAAAUAAAGUGAAGGAAGGAGAGAAAUAACGUUUCCCUAGCAGUUUUUAAAAAUUUCCCCAUGUAAUCCGAUUAAUCGAUUAAUCGUGUCGAGACCCCAUCCGAUUAAUCGAUUAUCCAAAUAAUCGUUUGUUGCAGCCCUAGUGACUUGCUCUUUAAAUUUUGAGACAGAGUUCUAUUAAUAGAACACAAAAAUAUGAAGUCGCUGAGAAAACAUGAAACUGUAACAUGAUGGGUGGAUUUUUGUAUCAGGAAGUUUUAUUUAUUUUAAACUUUUUGUCUUCCGGAGAACUUCUUCUGGAAUUCUGCAGACAAACGAAACACACGAGUCGUUGGAGGAGGUGACUCGCAGUUUCAUCAAAUUAAAUACUACUAUCUGUGACUCAAAGUACAAUGAAACCCAGAAAAGAAAAGAGAAUAAACAGUUUCUGGCUGCAUGUUGACGACGCACUAAUCCACUCACACACAAAGGCGGAAUAAAUAAGCCACAGAGAAAAAUAUGUGCUCAAGAAUUCCAGACGUGAAGCAUUAAACGGAUUAGGUGUCAAAGUCCGGAGAGUCUUGCGUAACUGGUAAAGAUGGAAAGAUGAAAAUCCGCCCCAUCUUUCCCACAUGAUAUCAUGAGGAAGUUCUUCUUAUCAUAGGAAUUUUAAGCCGAUCACACCGAAGGAAUUUUAAAAAGAGCAACACAAGUACAUCACUCCUCUGCUCAUGCUGGGAUGGAUGCAUGGAGAUCACAACCAAAAUCCGACCUCAGCAUGGAAAACCUGCACAAACGAAAGAUUCAACUACAGAAAUGGGAACCUACUGAAUCCGACUACAGGCAGAUCCAACUUUAAACCAAUUCAAUGUUCGAUCAUCUGUUGGGCAUCAAGACACCAGGCUCAUCCCUUGAGCUAUGGGGCCCGUUUGCUGGCCAACUGAAUGAAACAGCACGUAACUGUUUAAAGAACAGCAAAAAACCUUUGGAAAGUCUGGGGGGAAGUAAACAAUUAGAGUAGAAACAUGAAUAAGUACGAGUAAUUUACGACACCAUGUGCUGUUAAAUAAGUUUAUUUAUCUUUUGUAUGUUUGUUUAUUAAGGGGAUAGUUUAGAUCUUAGUAUGUUUAUGUGGUGAGGUUAUUAACUCAUUCACUGCCAGCAUUUUUACUGUCUUUUUUGAAGUCACAGAACAUUGCACUCUUUGAUGAUAAUGUCGACGCCAAAACUACCAAGACAAAGGGUACACUCACCUCUUACAUCAGGAAGCAUCAGUGCGUUUCGAGCUUUAUCCAUUCCUUCAUAAUCCGUUGUUGAAUUGCGAUCGGCAGAAGCUUUUCCAGUUCGUGCCUCACUUUGUUUUUUACAGCAGCGGCCCAAAACGAUCUCCUAAAACAUGGAUUUUCUGCUUCCUGAUCACGUGACGUGUGACGUACACGGAUUAAGAUCGGCUUUAGAGCUGAGAUGUUUGUUCUCACGAUGCGGGGGCUCGUUCCCAAUUUCAAAGGUUUUAGACAUUUAAACGAGUGCUAUUUUUUAACCUGUAAACUGACUCCAUGGUGAGAAUUAUUAUGAAACGCCAGCCAGGAAUAAUGUACGCUGCAGCCAACUUCUGCUGUAAAUAACAAUGUCAUGUGAAGUUCAAGGAAGGGUCAAAACGUUACACAUGGCAACGAAAUAUCUGGAAACACUUGGCAACUGGCCUCCACUUAAACUAGCCGUUAGCUCAUCAAUCUAGACAAAACUAAUCUACAUUUCUCCAAACUAAGGUUGCUCACAUGGCUAUCAGGUAUACGGAUUUGUUCAUAACAUUUCUCCAUAAAGGCUUUGUUAAACAGCGGAGCUGUCUCUUUAACGCCUGACACCUGUCAGGGGUCAAAGGUCGAUACACCUGUCUCUCACAUUCCUUACCUGUCCCGGGGGUCGAUCCAGCUCGUGCAGUGGUUAAUGUGAUCAAUGUAGUAAACUUUGCCAUCAAAGUCUCUGGCUUCCUCCCAACCGUCCGGUAGUGGCAACUCCUUCCUCGGCAUGUCAGGCGAGUCUCCAUGUACCUAUCUCCUCUCUACGUGGAAACACAACGAAGGGAGACCAUCGCUCUUCUCUGUCAUCAUCAGCAGCGGAAUCAGCAGUUAUUUCCACCUAACGCUGUGCGGGCUGGAUUAGGCCAUCGUAAUAAUCCGAAACAGUCCACAGAUUAAUACCGAGGCAGCCCCGAAGCAGGCAGGGGAAAUUGGAGCCGCUUCAGGGGGAUGGAGAACUUCCAGGAGGCUGCAGUUCAUCAGCAUCCGAGCUAGAAACACAAAAACGGGGAAGACAACCCCUCAACACUGUCCGCUGUGCCUCUCAUGGUGCUCCAAAACUUUCCAGGUCGUUUAAAGAAACUUGUAGGGGUCCUGGUGACAACUUUUAGGUUAACAAGAAUUAGCCACGGUCCACAGAACACGGACACCGCUGCUCGGUUUUAACGGAAACAAACCGCAGUUUUAUCCCCAAACACGAACAAGAGAUAGGCGCCAGGACCGGAGCAUCGCCGUUUCACAACAGGAACGGUUCCGAACGGCCCAGAAAUUCCUCCAAAACUCCCGACGGAGCUCGUCUCCUCCGCUUUACCUCCAGCAGGCCACCAUGUUCAGCAGCAGUAACCGAUUUUAGCCGCCAGCCGCGGGAUAGCGAACCCCCCGAGCUGCUCUUCUGUCCACAAACAGUAACGAGGUCACCCAAAGCGUUUCAAAUCCCGUCAAACCAAAACAAACUCCGGAGAAUCCCGUUAAAGUCCCGGUUCGAAGCGGACAGGAAGGAAGGUGCACGGCGGCAAAGUCGUUUCUUCAGACCCGAUCACUUCGGUCAGCCGCCGUGUGCGUCAAGCAGCCUGCGUGCGCAUCCACUCACUUCCACUUCCUGUUUCAAAAUAAAACCAAUGUUGACAAAUCCAGUCUGAAACAAUACAACUUCCGGUCCGAAAUGUUUAUGCAAGAGUUUCAUGAAAUGGACAUAGAAAUAUAAAAUAACUCAAAACACUGAAUAUUUAAAAUAGGUUAAAUCUCACAUAUCUGACAACAACAUACUACAAAACAUAGCAUAUGACAUGAAAAAAAUAUACAAAAUUGAUUUUAAAUGAUCACAAACCUCCCAUAAUUAGCCCAGUCAAAAAAAAAAACCCAGAAAGAACUAAAUUAGAGAUACGAUUUUGUAUUAAAUAAAUUAAUUAAUUUGAUCA